rnacentral:rRNA from 1 species
UACGGGGGGGGCAAGCGUUGUUCGGAAUUACUGGGCGUAAAGGGCUCGUAGGCGGCCAACUAAGUCGGACGUGAAAUCCCCAGGCUCAACCUGGGAACUGCGUCUGAUACUGGAUGGCUUGAAUCCGGGAGAGGGAUGCAGAAUUCCAGGUGUAGCGGUGAAAUGCGUAGAUAUCAAGAGGAACACCUGCGGCGAAGGCGGGUUGCUGGGCCGACACUGACGCUGAAGCGCGAAAGCCAGGGGAGCGAACGGG